GUGUCCUGAUUAACGUUACCUUAGAGGAGAAGUUAAUGUUCUGUUACACGCUGUGCAAACGUAGGAAAGGUUUAUUUCUUACUCUUAGCUCCUGGCUGAUGAAGUGCACAAGGCCAGUGGUGUCUGGUCCCCUUCAGGGGUGUGAGGUACGGGAGGUCCCCUCCCACUCUGGAAAUUGAGGGGGCCCCGGCGUACUCCAUCCUCUCCAUCAUCAACUCAAGGCGCCGGGCGGGGGGCCUCCAGUACCUCGUAGAGUGGGAGGGGUAUGGCCCGGAGGAAUGGAGCUGGGUCCCUGUGAAGGAGGUCCUGGCUUCCGCCCUCCUGCACGACUUCCGUCGCCCGGAUCACCCUGUUCCGCGUCCCCCGGGGCCGGUGUUGUCAGAGGGGGGGGUACUGUGAUGACGGCGCCCUCUGCUGCCUCUCCUCCCCCUGCAGCAGGCAGGCUCCAGCGGUCGACGUCACCGGGCUUCUAACACCACCGCCCAUCUCCUUCAUUCCUCAUUUUAAUCAUUCCCCCCAGUAUAUAUGUUCCCUCUGCUUCCUCUGUCUUUGUGUGUUAUUGUCUUGCCUGCUAAGAGCAUUGUUGGGCUACGCCAUUUUUUACCUAUUAAAUAACUGUCAAUAAUACAACUUCGUCUUCCUGCUCCUCUUUUCCACUUGAGCCUGACAUAAUAUCUAAAACAUUACAGCAGCACAAGUGAUUAAAG
ensembl:lncRNA